rnacentral:lncRNA from 1 species
GAUAACCUUCAUAACUUGACUCUCAACCCUUGUACUGAAUUCCCUUCCCUUCUACCACAGGUUCACCCCAACAAUAGUCACUCCAACAAUAGCAUACAAGAGCAAUGAUCCUCAAGUAAAUCAGAGAUGACUUGCUUUACAAGAGUAGAGGAGUAAAAACACUGCUAUCUGUGCAGAAAGAAAGAAUGGCAAAAUUGAGAUACCCAUUACUCAGCACAGUUCCUAGGCUUGAAAGAGAACUAACAAACACUCAACUUAAAGGACUUCAGAAUGAAUGAAGAAGUAAACCAUUCCAAUGUUGCUGCAGUUUCUGCAUAUUUAACAGAUAGGAUCCUUCUGAGAAUGCUAGAAUUGGGGAUUAUGACACCAAGUCACUUCAGCC